rnacentral:rRNA from 1 species
GACGAACGCUGGCGGCGUGCUUAGCACAUGCAAGUCGAACGGAAAGGCCCUGCUUUUGUGGGGUGCUCGAGUGGCGAACGGGUGAGUAACACGUGAGUAACCUGCCCUUGACUUUGGGAUAACUUCAGGAAACUGGGGCUAAUACCGGAUAGGAGCUCCUGCUGCAUGGUGGGGGUUGGAAAGUUUCGGCGGUUGGGGAUGGACUCGCGGCUUAUCGGCUUGUUGGUGGGGUAGUGGCUUACCAAGGCUUUGACGGGUAGCCGGCCUGAGAGGGUGACCGGCCACGUUGGGACUGAGAUGCGACCCAGACUCCUACGGGACGCAGCAGUGGGGAAUGUUGCACAAUGGGCGGAAGCCUGAUGCAGCAACGCCGCGUGCGGGAUGACGGCCUUCGGGUUGUAAACCGCUUUCGCCUGUGACGAAGCGUGAGUGACGGUAAUGGGUAAAGAAGCACCGGCUAACUACGUG